rnacentral:ncRNA from 2 species
CAACAUCGCACUGUUUCUGGUGGCACCUUGCCUUAAUAAGGGAAUCCGGUGAAAAUCCGGAACGGUCCCGCCGCUGUAAACGGGGAGAGUGGCUGCAUCCAUGUCACUGCAACGUCUUUAUAAACGUUGUGGGAAGACGCAAGUCACUUCAAUGAUCCGUAAGUCAGAAGACCUGCCAGAAACGGUAAAGAACC